AGGGCUUCGAGGGGCGGGGAGUGGUUCCUCAGCUCCUGGGGAAGCAGAAAGGGGCGAGGUUUUGUCCUGAAACCUGUGGCUCCUGGCGGCCGGAAGUGAGCCAGAAAGUCGGAAAAAUUAAGUCACUUCUUGUCGCCAGAAGUCUGGGGGGAAAGCUAAAGCAGAGAAGGGAACAGCCAAGUAGGCCCUGCUUCCAGCCUGCCCUCCUCGCCGCAGGGGCCAGUGGGCGGGGCCGCGGAGCUGGCCGCCCAGAAGCGCGAACAGAGGCUGCGCAAAUUCCGGGAGCUUCACCUGAAGCCGAAUGAAGCUCAAAAAUUAAAUCACUAGGAAGUUGUGAAGGAAGAUAAAAGACUUAAACUACCUGCAAACUGGGAAGCUAAAAAAGCUCGUUUGGAAUGGAAGGAAAGAAAAAAGAAUGUGCAGCAAGGUGGGAAGACUGAGAAAGUGAAAUUGCUGGAGAUCAGUGCAGAAGAUGCAGAAAGAUGGGAGAAGAAAAAGGAAGAAAAACCAGAUCUGGGUUUUUCAGUUUUUUAGAUUACGCUGCUGCCCAGUUAACGCCGGUAUCAUAGGUUAACCAAGCAGAUCAAACCUGACAUGGAAACAUAUGAAAGACUGAGAAAAACAAAUUGAAAAACGAGACAAAUAUAGCCGGAGACAUCCUUAUAAUGAUGAUGCAGAUAUUGACUACAUUAAUGAAAGGAAUGCCAAAUUCAACAAGAAGGCAGAAAGAUUCUAUGGGAAAUACACAGCUGAAAUUAAACAGAAUUUGGAAAGAGGAACAGCUGUCUAAUCUCCUUUAGGAACUGUUUUGACUGCCAAAUUGUACCAGUAAACUAGGACUCAUUCCUUUUAUAACUUGUAGUAAAGUGUUCUACAAAUGUCUGUGUAUUUUCAUACUUAUAUAUUUAUUACUCAGUUUUUGAAGAAAAAUUUGUCUUGUAUUUCUUUGUUUAAAGUGUGUGCUUAACAUGUGCACUCUGCUA